UACAGAGGUCUCGAGCGUUGUUCGGAUUCAUUGGGCGUAAAGGGUGCGUAGGCGGCGUGGCAAGUCUGAUGUGAAAUCCCGGGCUCAACCCGGAACUGCAUUGGAUACUGCCAUGCUAGAGUACUGGAGAGGAGAUUGGAAUUUACGGUGUAGCAGUGAAAUGCGUAGAUAUCGUAAGGAAGACCAGUGGCGAAGGCGAAUCUCUGGACAGUUACUGACACUGAGGCACGAAGCAGGGAGCAAA
rnacentral:rRNA from 1 species